rnacentral:rRNA from 1 species
AUUGAACGCUGGCGGCAUGCCUUACACAUGCAAGUCGAACGGUAACGCGGGGCAACCUGGCGACGAGUGGCGAACGGGUGAGUAAUGCAUCGGAACGUGCCUGGGAGUGGGGGAUAACUGCUCGAAAGAGCAGCUAAUACCGCAUACGACCUGAGGGUGAAAGGGGGGGAUCGCAAGACCUAUCGCUAUCAAAGCGGCCGAUGUCGAAUUAGCUAGUUGGUGGGGUAAAGUCCCACCAAGGCAACGAUCCGUAGCUGGUCUGAGAGGACGACCAGCCACACUGGGACUGAGACACGGCCCAGACUCCUACGGGAGGCAGCAGUGGGGAAUUUUGGACAAUGGACGCAAGUCUGAUCCAGCCAUGCCGCGUGCGGGAAGAAGGCCUUCGGGUUGUAAACCGCUUUUGUCAGGGAAGAAAUCUUCUGGGCUAAUACCCUGGGAGGAUGACGGUACCUGAAGAAUAAGCACCGGCUAACUACGUGCCAGCAGCCGCCGUAAUAC